GAAGGGCCAUCGCUCAACGGAUAAAAGGUACUCCGGGGAUAACAGGCUGAUACCGCCCAAGAGUUCAUAUCGACGGCGGUGUUUGGCACCUCGAUGUCGGCUCAUCACAUCCUGGGGCUGAAGUCGGUCCCAAGGGUAUGGCUGUUCGCCAUUUAAAGUGGUACGCGAGCUGGGUUUAGAACGUCGUGAGACAGUUCGGUCCCUAUCUGCCGUGGGCGUUUGAGAAUUGAGAGGGGUUGCUCCUAGUACGAGAGGACCGGAGUGAACGAACCGCUGGUGUUCGGGUUGUCAUGCCAAUGGCAUUGCCCGGUAGCUACGUUCG
rnacentral:rRNA from 1 species